UUUAAAAAAGACACAACCUCAACCAGCGGAUAACUUCAACGUACCUAACCCCGUGGGCCUUAAAGCAGCCACCCCCGAAGAUUGCGUCAAAGCUCCAUCGACUAAAAACACCAAAGACUAACACGACUCCCUGCACCGAUAGUAGGCUAACCUAUAACAAUAGAUGAAUCAAUACUAGAACGAGUAACCAGGACACCACGUCCCCCCAAGCGCCAGCCUAAACGCCAUUAACAGCACAAACCUCAAUAACAACCACACCACACCCCCCACCAUUGAACAUACCCUGUCAAUCCAACUCAGGGGCGCACAUUGGAGUGAUCAAAGUCUACAAAAGGAACUCGGCAAACCCAAGACCCGACUGUUUACCAAAAACAUAGCCUUCAGCCAAACAAGUAUUGAAGGUGAUGCCUGCCCAGUGACACCAUGUUUAACGGCCGCGGUAUCCUAACCGUGCAAAGGUAGCGCAAUCAAUUGUCCCAUAAAUCGAGACCUGUAUGAAUGGCUAGACGAGGUCUUAACUGUCUCCUGUAGACAAUCGGUGAAACUGAUCUCUCUGUACAAAAGCAGAGAUAAGCACAUAAGACGAGAAGACCCUGUGGAACUUCAAAAUCAACAGCCACCUCACCCUGCUUACAAACCCACACGGGCCCACCACCCAAGACACUGGCUGACAUUUUUAGGUUGGGGCGACCUUGGAGAAAAACAAACCCUCCAAAGACAAGGCCAAACUCCUUAACUAAGAGCAACCCCUCAACGUACUAACAGUACCCAGACCCAGUAAAUCUGACCAAUGAACCAAGCUACCCCAGGGAUAACAGCGCAAUCUCCUCCAAGAGCCCCUAUCGACGAGGAGGUUUACGACCUCGAUGUUGGAUCAGGACAUCCUAGUGGUGCAGCCGCUACUAAGGGUUCGUUUGUUCAACGAUUAACAGUCCUACGUGAUCUGAGUUCAGACCGGAGCAAUCCAGGUCGGUUUCUAUCUAUGACCAACCUUUCCCAGUACGAAAGGACCGGAAAGGUGGGGCCAAUACUCCAAGCAUGCCCCCUCCCCCCAAGUGAUGUCCCCCACUAAAUCACCAAAGGACUUCCCUUCCCCCCGCGAAAAGGGUUGCUAGUGUAGCAGAGCCAGGCAAAUGCAAAAGACUUAAGCCCUUUACCUCAGAGGUCA
rnacentral:rRNA from 1 species